GAUGAACGCUAGCUACAGGCUUAACACAUGCAAGUCGAGGGGAAACGACAUCGAAAGCUUGCUUUUGAUGGGCGUCGACCGGCGCACGGGUGAGUAACGCGUAUCCAACCUGCCCACCACUUGGGGAUAACCUUGCGAAAGUAAGACUAAUACCCAAUGAUAUCCCACGAAGGCAUCCGAAUGGGAUUAAAGAUUUAUCGGUGAUGGAUGGGGAUGCGUCUGAUUAGCUUGUUGGCGGGGUAACGGCCCACCAAGGCUACGAUCAGUAGGGGUUCUGAGAGGAAGGUCCCCCACAUUGGAACUGAGACACGGUCCAAACUCCUACGGGAGGCAGCAGUGAGGAAUGUUGGUCAAUGGGCGAGAGCCUGAACCAGCCAAGUAGCGUGCAGGAUGACGGCCCUAUGGGUUGUAAACUGCUCUUAUAAGGGAAUAAAGUGGGGCUCGUGAGCUCUUUUGCAUGUACCGCAUGAAUAAGGACCGGCUAAUUCCGUGCCAGCAGCCGACGG
rnacentral:rRNA from 1 species